AUUGAACGCUGGCGGCAUGCUUUACACAUGCAAGUCGAACGGUAACAGGCCGCAAGGUGCUGACGAGUGGCGAACGGGUGAGUAAUGCAUCGGAACGUGCCCAGUCGUGGGGGAUAACGCAGCGAAAGCUGCGCUAAUACCGCAUACGAUCUAUGGAUGAAAGCGGGGGACCGUAAGGCCUCGCGCGAUUGGAGCGGCCGAUGUCAGAUUAGGUAGUUGGUGGGGUAAAGGCUCACCAAGCCAACGAUCUGUAGCUGGUCUGAGAGGACGACCAGCCACACUGGGAAUGAGACACGGCCCGGACUCCUACGGGAGGCAGCAGUGGGGAAUUUUGGACAAUGGGCGCAAGCCUGAUCCAGCAAUGCCGCGUGCAGGAAGAAGGCCUUCGGGUUGUAAACUGCUUUUGUACGGAACGAAAAGACUCUGGUUAAUACCUGGGGUCCAUGACGGUACCGUAAGAAUAAGCACCGGCUAACUACGUGCCAGCCGCCGCAGUAAUAC
rnacentral:rRNA from 1 species